ensembl:snoRNA LOC120099546 small nucleolar RNA U3
AAGACUAUACUUUCAGGGAUCAUUUCUAUAGUUCGUUACUACAAUAUGUAGGACUAGAUUAGCACAAGAAGUAAAAGACGU